GUCGAACGAGUUCUGAUUAUUGAAAGGUGCUUGCAUCUUGAUUUAAUUUUGAACGAGUGGCGGACGGGUGAGUAACACGUGGGUAACCUGCCCUUAAGUGGGGGAUAACAUUUGGAAACAGAUGCUAAUACCGCAUAAAUCCAAGAACCGCAUGGUUCUUGGCUGAAAGAUGGCGUAAGCUAUCGCUUUUGGAUGGACCCGCGGCGUAUUAGCUAGUUGGUGAGGUAACGGCUCACCAAGGCAAUGAUACGUAGCCGAACUGAGAGGUUGAUCGGCCACAUUGGGACUGAGACACGGCCCAAACUCCUACGGGAGGCAGCAGUAGGGAAUCUUCCACAAUGGACGCAAGUCUGAUGGAGCAACGCCGCGUGAGUGAAGAAGGCUUUCGGGUCGUAAAACUCUGUUGUUGGAGAAGAAUGGUCGGCAGAGUAACUGUUGUCGGCGUGACGGUAUCCAACCAGAAAGCCACGGCUAACUACGUGCCAGCAGCCGCGGUAAUACGUAGGUGGCAAGCGUUAUCCGGAUUUAUUGGGCGUAAAGCGAGCGCAGGCGGUUUUUUAAGUCUGAUGUGAAAGCCCUCGGCUUAACCGAGGAAGUGCAUCGGAAACUGGGAAACUUGAGUGCAGAAGAGGACAGUGGAACUCCAUGUGUAGCGGUGAAAUGCGUAGAUAUAUGGAAGAACACCAGUGGCGAAGGCGGCUGUCUGGUCUGUAACUGACGCUGAGGCUCGAAAGCAUGGGUAGCGAACAGGAUUAGAUACCCUGGUAGUCCAUGCCGUAAACGAUGAAUGCUAGGUGUUGGAGGGUUUCCGCCCUUCAGUGCCGCAGCUAACGCAUUAAGCAUUCCGCCUGGGGAGUACGACCGCAAGGUUGAAACUCAAAGGAAUUGACGGGGGCCCGCACAAGCGGUGGAGCAUGUGGUUUAAUUCGAAGCAACGCGAAGAACCUUACCAGGUCUUGACAUCUUUUGAUCACCUGAGAGAUCAGGUUUCCCCUUCGGGGGCAAAAUGACAGGUGGUGCAUGGUUGUCGUCAGCUCGUGUCGUGAGAUGUUGGGUUAAGUCCCGCAACGAGCGCAACCCUUAUGACUAGUUGCCAGCAUUUAGUUGGGCACUCUAGUAAGACUGCCGGUGACAAACCGGAGGAAGGUGGGGAUGACGUCAAAUCAUCAUGCCCCUUAUGACCUGGGCUACACACGUGCUACAAUGGAUGGUACAACGAGUUGCGAGACCGCGAGGUCAAGCUAAUCUCUUAAAGCCAUUCUCAGUUCGGACUGUAGGCUGCAACUCGCCUACACGAAGUCGGAAUCGCUAGUAAUCGCGGAUCAGCACGCCGCGGUGAAUACGUUCCCGGGCCUUGUACACACCGCCCGUCACACCAUGAGAGUUUGUAACACCCGAAGCCGGUGGCGUAACCC
rnacentral:rRNA from 1 species